rnacentral:rRNA from 1 species
UCUGAUUGAACGCUGUCAAAGUGCUUGACACAUGCUAAUCGUACGUUUAAUUUAAGUAUAAUUUUAUUAAAAGUGGUGUACAGGUGAGUAUAGAUAUCCGGCCUACCUUAAAGAGAGGGAAAAAUCCCUUAUAGUAACUAAAAGGGUGUAUAAAUAAUCACCGCUUUAAGAGGACUUAAGGAAAUAUCGUCGAGAUAGGUAGUUGUUAAGGUUAUUACUUAACAAGCCUUAAUUCUCGUAGUCGAAGCUGAAAGGUUGAUCGACCACAUUGGGUCUGAAAAAAGCCCAAGACAAAUUAGUGUACAGCAGUGAGGAAUAUUGGUCAAUUGCCGAAAGGCUGAACUGGCAACUUUGAGGAAUGGUACAAAGUAUGUACUAAUAAAUUGAUAUAUCGAAUGAAAUUCUAAAAGUAUUAUUUAUAAUGACGAUAUACUGAUUGAUGCCUUGACUAAUUACGUGCCAGCAGUCGCGGUAAUACGUAAGAGGCUAGUGUUAUUCAUCUUAAUUAGGUUUAAAGGGUACUUAGACGGUAAAUAUUUAUCCUUAAUAAAGGUACAUUUUACUAGAGUUUUAUGCGAGGAGGUAGUACUUAAGGUGUAGAGAUCAAAUUCGUUGAUACCUCGGGGACUGGUAACGGCGAAGGCAACCUCUUAUGUAAAAACUGACGUUAAAAGACGAAGGCAUAGAGAACUAACAGGAUUAGAUACCCUAGUAGUCUUUGCAGACAAUGAUGAAUGCCAUAGGUUAGGAAAAUAAAUUUGACCUAUAAAUGAAAGUGUAAGCAUUUCACCUCAAGAGUAGUGUGGCAACACAGGAACUGAAAUCACUAGACCGUUUCUAACACCAGCAGUGAAGUAUGUUAUUUAAUUCGAUGAUCCACGAAAAACCUUACCACAAUUUGAAUGUUUUUUUGUCGCGCAGGGGGGGGGUGGGGUAACCCGCCCCCCCCUCACCGAUUUAAAAACCUAAUAAAUUAAAGAAAUAACGUAGUUUAACAAGUGUUGCACGGCUGUUUACAGUUAAUGUUGUGAAACUGCGGAUCCGUCCGUGUAAUUAACGAAUACCCCUGCUCUAUUUAUAAAUUAUUAAUAAUAGAGCGUUUUCUGACAUUUCCACAAUCGUUGGAAGAAAAGGGAAUAAGACAAGUCAUCAUGGCCUUAAUAUUGUGGGCUAUAGACGUGCCACAUUUCUCCUCCACAAAGAGACGCAAAAAUGCGAAUUUGAGCUAAUCUCAAAAAAUAGGAUAAAAUACAGAAAAUGGAUUGUAGCCUGAAAUUCGGCUACAUGAAUAAGAAAUUGCUAGUAAUCGUGAAUCACCAUGUCACGGUGAAUUUAACUUUGGAUUGGUACUAAUCACUCGUCGCAUGCUGAAAAGAGUAGGUGCAAUAAGUUUGCUUUUCUAUUUUUAUUAAGUAAAUGAUAGGAUUUAGAUUUUUAAGUAGGAUUCUUCGUAUGUGCGACUCUGAUUAGUGUUAAGUCGAAAUACGGUUUAGUGGAAGUUGCACGGGACUAAUAAAAUUUAACAAAAAUAAA